ACGGAGGAUGCAAGCGUUAUCCGGAUUCAUUGGGUUUAAAGGGUGCGUAGGCGGCUCUUUAAGUCAGUGGUGAAAUCCUGUCGCUCAACGAUAGAAUUGCCAUUGAUACUGGAGAGCUUGAGUUCAGUUGAGGUAAGCGGAAUGUGUAGUGUAGCUGUAAAAUGCUUAGAUAUUACACAGAACAACAAUUGCGAAGGCAGCUUGCAGACCUAUCACUGAAGCUGAUGCGCGAAAGCGUGGGGAUCGAAGAG
rnacentral:rRNA from 1 species